AGAUAACAGACAGUAACAGCAGUAUACUGUAGGUAGGGUUAAAGGAUAGAUAAUAGACAGUAGCAGCAGUAUACUGUAGGUAGGGGUAAAGGAUAGAUAAUAGACAGUAGCAGCAGUAUACUGUAGUUAGGGGUAAAGGAUAGAUAAUAGACAGUAGCAGUAUACUGUAGGUAGGGGUAAAGGAUAGAUAAUAGACAGUAACAGCAGUAUACUGUAGGUAGGGGUAAAGGAUAGAUAAUAGACAGUAGCAGCAGUAUACAGUAGGUAGGGGUAAAGGAUAGAUAACAGACAGUAGCAGCAGUAUACUGUAGGUAGGGGUAAAGUGAUUAGACAACAGGAUAGAUAAUAGACAGUAACAGCAGAGUAUGUGAUGAGUCAAAAGAGUCAAUGCAGGUAGACCGGGUAGCGAUAGAACCUUCAAAAAAGGUUCUCUAUUGCAGCAAAAAGGGAUCUUCUAUGGUUACAAGCCCUUUAGAACCCUUAUUUAGAACUAUAUAGAACCAUUUG
rnacentral:lncRNA from 1 species